rnacentral:rRNA from 1 species
UAAUACAUGCAAGUCGAGGGGUAACAGGAGUGCUUGCACUCGCUGACGACCGGCGCACGGGUGCGUAACGCGUAUAGAACCUACCUUUUACAGGGGAAUAGCCCAGAAGAGAAAUUUGGAUUAAUGCCCCAUAGUAUUGUUGAAUGGCAUCAUUUAAUAAUUAAACAUUUAUGGGUAAAAGAUGGCUAUGCGUUCUAUUAGCUAGAUGGUAAGGUAACGUCUUACCAUGGCAACGAUAGAUAGGGGUCCUGAGAGGGAGAUCCCCCACACUGGUACUGAGACACGGACCAGACUCCUACGGGAGGCAGCAGUGAGGAAUAUUGGACAAUGGAGGUAACUCUGAUCCAGCCAUGCCGCGUGCAGGAAGACGGCCCUAUGGGUUGUAAACUGCUUUUAUACAGGAAGAAACCACCCUACGUGUAGGGUGCUGACGGUACUGUAAGAAUAAGGACCGGCUAACUCCGUGACAGCAGACGCGGUAAUACGGAGGGUCAAAGCGUUAUCCGGAAUCAUUGGGUUUAAAGGGUCCGUAGGCGGACUAUUAAGUCAGAGGUGAAAUCCCACAGCUUAACUGUGGAACUGCCUUGGAUACUGGUAGUCUUGAGUUAUAUGGAAGUAGAUAGAAUGUGUAGUGUAGCGGUGAAAUGCAUAGAUAUCACAUAGAACACCGAUUGCGAAGGCAGGUCACUAACCGUAUACUGACGCUGAUGGACGAAAGCGUGGGGAGCAAACGGGAUUAGAUACCCCGGUAGUCCACGCCGUAAACGAUGGACACUAGCUGUCGGGCCUUAGGGCUCGGCGGCCAAGCGAAAGUGAUAAGUGUCCCACCUGGGGAGUACGUUCGCAAGAAUGAAACUCAAAGGAAUUGACGGGGGCCCGCACAAGCGGUGGAGCAUGUGGUUUAAUUCGAUGAUACGCGAGGAACCUUACCAGGGCUUAAAUGUAGAUUGACAGGGCUAGAGAUAUCCUUUCCUUCGGGCAAUUUACAAGGUGCUGCAUGGUUGUCGUCAGCUCGUGCCGUGAGGUGUCAGGUUAAGUCCUAUAACGAGCGCAACCCCUGCCGUUAGUUGCCAGCAUGUAAAGAUGGGGACUCUAACGGGACUGCCGGUGCAAACCGUGAGGAAGGUGGGGAUGACGUCCAAUCAUCACGGCCCUUACGUCCUGGGCCACACACGUGCUACAAUGGCCGGUACAGAGAUCAGCCAUGUUGCAAGACAGACCGAAUCUAUAAAACCGGUCACAGUUCGGAUCGGGGUCUGCAACUCGACCCCGUGAAGCUGGAAUCGCUAGUAAUCGGAUAUCAGCCAUGAUCCGGUGAAUACGUUCCCGGGCCUUGUACAACCGCCC